AACGAACGCUGGCGGCAUGCCUAACACAUGCAAGUCGAACGAGACCGUCGGGUCUUGCGGCGCCCGGGUGCGUAACGCGUGGGAACCUUCACGUAGGUUCGAAAUAACUCCCCGAGGGGGGUGAUAAUUGCGGAUAAUGUCUUCGGCCCAAUGAUGUAUCGCCUUUGGAUGGGCCCGCGUGGGAUUAGCAAGUUGGUAAGGUAAAAGCCUACCAAGGCGACGUUACCUAGCUGGUCUGAGAGUAUGAUCAGCCACCCUGGGACUGAGACACGGCCCAGACUCCUACGGGAGGCAGCAGUGGGGAAUAUUGGACAAUGGGCGAAAGCCUGAUCCAGCAAGGCCGUGUGAGUGAUGAAGGCCUUAGGGUUGUAAAGCUCUGUUACCCGGGAUGAUAAUGACAGUACCGUGAGAAUAAGCUCCGGCUAACUCCGUG
rnacentral:rRNA from 1 species